rnacentral:lncRNA from 10 species
UAGCUUAGCAGAGUUCAGCAUGUAAGAAAUUUCUCAACAAAAGAACAGGCUAUCAGACACUGUUCACCCUUCCUGAAAAAGCCACUUCUCAAACUAGGCAGAACAUAAGUUAUUGUACAAAUGAACCAAAGAAAAUGAAUAUUUUGGGCAUCUUCUGGGCAUUUUUACGGACUAUUCAUCACCUUGUGAUUAGAAAGGUUGCAAGAGUUGUUGCUAGAACACGG